rnacentral:rRNA from 1 species
CUACGGGGGGCAGCAGUCGAGAAUAUUCGACAAUGGGCGAAAGCCUGAUCGAGCGACGCCGCGUGCGGGAAGAAGGCCUUCGGGUCGUAAACCGCGGUAACUUGUGAUGAAAAAAAUGACAGUAACAAGUGGAAAGAGGUGGGUAACUACGUGCCAGCACCAGCGGUAAAACGUAGACCUCAAGCGUUAUCCGGAUUUAUUGGGCGUAAGGCGCGUGUAGGGGGUUUGGUAAGUUUCUUGUUAAAUUUCGCGGCUCAACCGUGAAGCCGCAAGGAAUACUGCUAAACUAGAGGACGUCAGAGGCCAAUGGAACGCAUGGUGUAGGGGUGAAAUCCGUUGAUAUCAUGCGGAACACCGAAGGCGAAGGCAAUUGGCUGGGAUGUUCCUGACCCUGAGACGCGAAAGCGUGGGGAGCAAAAAGGAUUAGAUACCCCGGUAGUC